UACGUAGGGACCGAGCGUUGUCCGGAUUCAUUGGGCGUAAAGAGCUCGUAGGCGGCUGUUCAAGUCGAACGUGAAAACUCGGAGCUCAACUCCGAGCCUGCGUUCGAUACUGGACGGCUAGAGUCUGGUAGGGGGAUCUGGAAUUCCUGGUGUAGCGGUGGAAUGCGCAGAUAUCAGGAGGAACACCAAUAGCGAAGGCAGCUCGCUGGGACGGUAUUGACGCUAAGGCGCGAAAGCGUGGGGAGCAAACAGG
rnacentral:rRNA from 1 species